rnacentral:rRNA from 1 species
GACGAACGCUGGCGGCGUGCCUAAUACAUGCAAGUCGAGCGGACCAAAGGGAGCUUGCUCCUGGAGGUCAGCGGCGAACGGGUGAGUAACACGUGGGCAACCUGCCUGUAAGACUGGGAUAACAUCGAGAAAUCGGUGCUAAUACCGGAUAAUAAAAAGAACUGCAUGGUUCUUUUUUGAAAGAUGGUUUCGGCUAUCACUUACAGAUGGGCCCGCGGCGCAUUAGCUAGUUGGUGAGGUAACGGCUCACCAAGGCAACGAUGCGUAGCCGACCUGAGAGGGUGAUCGGCCACACUGGGACUGAGACACGGCCCAGACUCCUACGGGAGCAGCAGUAGGGAAUCUUCCGCAAUGGACGAAAGUCUGACGGAGCAACGCCGCGUGAGUGAUGAAGGUUUUCGGAUCGUAAAACUCUGUUGUUAGGGAAGAACAAGUGCCGUUCGAAAGGGCGGCACCUUGACGGUACCUAACGAGAAAGCCACGGCUAACUACGUGCCAGCAGCCGACGG